GGGGGUAUGGCGGAAUUGGUAGACGCUGCGGACUUAAAAUCCGUUGAUCAUUGCGAUCGUGGGAGUUCAAGUCUCCCUACCCCCA
rnacentral:tRNA from 1 species